CCCUGGCUCAGGACGAACGCUGGCGGCAUGCCUAAUACAUGCAAGUCGAGCGGAGUUUUGUUGAAAGCUUGCUUUCAACAGGAUUUAGCGGCGGACGGGUGAGUAACACGUAGGCAACCUGCCCCAUAGCCUGGGAUAACUACCGGAAACGGUAGCUAAUACCGGAUAAUUCCUUUCCCCACCUGGGAAGAGGAUGAAAGACGGAGUAAUCUGUCGCUGAGGGAUGGGCCUGCGGCGCAUUAGCUAGUUGGUGGGGUAACGGCUCACCAAGGCGACGAUGCGUAGCCGACCUGAGAGGGUGAACGGCCACACUGGGACUGAGACACGGCCCAGACUCCUACGGGAGGCAGCAGUAGGGAAUCUUCCGCAAUGGGCGCAAGCCUGACGGAGCAAUGCCGCGUGAGUGAUGAAGGUUUUCGGAUCGUAAAGCUCUGUUGCCAGGGAAGAACGUCUUAUAGAGUAACUGCUAUAAGAGUGACGGUACCUGAGAAGAAAGCCCCCGGCUAACUA
rnacentral:rRNA from 1 species